UCUGUUUUGUAUAGGAAUUUCUAAUACAAGUUUUUUUUUUCCCUUUUUAUUAAGGAAGAAGGCAGCUGAUUACAGUACCAUAGCACUGAUAAAACUCCUGCAACACUUACAAAACAAACUUAACUUCUGCUUUUUCAUCUGAACCCUCUUAUCACAAAGAGAGAACUAUGUGCACAUUUACCUUUAAGGUGUCUUUUCAGCUAUUUGACUCCAGGGUGCACACAAGAAAUGCAGCCUAAAGUGGAAGCAGGAAUAUUCAGUAUGUAGACUGCAACAUAUCUGUUGAGAGAAACUUCUUCAAUACUAUUAAUAAUGUGUGUCAUUGCUGUUCUGAGUUUCUACAUCAUCAACAGGAUUUCUGCUAUUGCAUUUUUAAGAUAGCUUGCAAUGACACCAGGAGAGACAACAUAGAUGGUCCCUGUUCCUACCUACAAAAACACGCAGAGUUGAGCAAUUUAGGAGAGGUGACUGUACAGUUUUAACUUUAUACUGAUUAACCAGUGAUGUAAGAUCAUUAAGUAGUUGUGUGUUAUAACCCCGCCACAUGCAUGAGCAAGGGAAAAACUUCCAUUGUUUUUUACAUUUUGUUUAAAAAGCAAAAACAAGAAUACGUAAAAUUGGAUUUUUAGUUACUUUUGAAACAUUACUUAUAACUUAAAAAGGGUCAUCACAUGAGUGAAUGGAGAAGUACUACCUGGGUUGAGUGGCAGGGUUAAAACACACAAGUACCAAUCAUUUUUCUGUUUCACAAAUGAUUUUACUUGAAUGGGACUGGAAAAAUGAAAACCGUUAUUAUCUAACACUGCACAGUAUUUAAAUAUGGAUUUCAUUAUAUAACCAUAGUCUAGGCAAACAAACAUUACCUUGUUUAUUAGAAAUUAUCUGCAUUUGUCAUUAAUUAUUA